rnacentral:rRNA from 1 species
CCUACGGGUGGCAGCAGUGAGGAAUAUUGGUCAAUGGGCGCGAGCCUGAACCAGCCCAUUAGCGUGAAGGAUGACUGCCCUACGGGUUGUAAACUUCUUUUAUAAAGGAAUAAAGUGAGGCACGUGUGCCUUUUUGUAGGUACUUUAUGAAUAAGGAUCGGCUAACUCCGUGCCAGCAGCCGCGGUAAUACGGAGGAUCCAAGCGUUAUCCGGAUGUAUUGGGUUUAAAGGGAGCGUAGAUGGGAUGUUAAGUCAGUUGUGAAAGUUUGCGGCUCAACCGUAAAAUUGCAAUUGAUACUGGCAGUCUUGAGUACAGUUGAGGUAGGCGGAAUUCGUGGUGGAGCGGUGCAAUGCUUAGAUAUCACGAAGAACUCCGAUUGCGAAGGCAGCUUACUAAACUGCCACUGACAUUGAUGCUCGAAAGUGUGGGUAUCAAACAGGAUGAGAUACCCUAGUAGUC